rnacentral:rRNA from 1 species
AGCAGCAGCCGCGGUAAUACGAAGGGUGCAAGCGUUACUCGGAAUUACUGGGCGUAAAGCGUGCGUAGGUGGUGGUUUAAGUCCGUUGUGAAAGCCCUGGGCUCAACCUGGGAAUUGCAGUGGAUACUGGGUCACUAGAGUGUGGUAGAGGAUAGUGGAAUUUCCCGUGUAGCAGUGAAAUGCGUAGAGAUGUGGAGGAACACCGAUGGCGAAGGCAGCCCCCUGGGCCAAUACUGACGCUCAUGCACGAAAGCGUGGGGAGCAAACAGGAUUAGAUACCCCAGUAGUCCCUGUCUCUUAUAC